GGAACCUUGGGUAGGUAAUGCUUAUGGAGAUGGAGAGAAAACAGGUCAGGACUGUCCAUGUUCAUGGGAACUGAGAGCCAACCGAGAGCCAGGAAGAUCGGGCAAACCACUCUUCCACUGACCGCAGCACCAUGCAUGGUCCAUAGAGAGAGACACAUGCUGACGAGGGAGAUUUAAGAAGGCAUGGAAGGCCUGAUUCGAUGAUGAAUGGCAAGCCGCUACCCCGCUGAAAUGUCAAGUAUCUGGAAAGCUUGUCUUUAUGGUUUUUUUUUUCUACCAGACAAGAAAUAAAUGCAAGAAAAUUGAGGAAAAUAAGUUUGCUCAUGCAGGUACAAUUUAAAUUGAAGAGCAAUGUUUAGCAGGAUCCACAUUUAUUCUGCCAAGAUGAGAGACUUGCCCACUGAAGGCAAUGUGAUCUGGAGAUAUUUACUCUCAAAUCCAUAGACAUACUGUGGAAAUGCUCAAGAGAAGUGGGAAUAAGAAACUCUGCACCUUUUCUCUGCCUACCCUCUUGCUGAGUUCAAGCCGAUUUUACAACUGUAAGUCAAGAAUAGCAUCAUUUUUCAUCUGUGAAAUCAGACAGUCUCCCAGUAUAAAAAUCUCUGUCACUAUCUCUCACAAAUGCAAAGCAGGAAGAAACAUCUAUAACAGAGCAUGCCCUCUGUGACAGACUCCUGAUCCCCUUCUCUUCUGCCUCGGUGGAGUAGCUAUGUUCUCCUGAUCGCGAAUGAGCAGAAAGCGCUUUAUCAUCUUUUGUCUUGUUUUCAUCCUGCCCUGAAGAAGAAAAGAGACAAGAUAAAGGAAGUGGCUGCAGCUACCCGACGAUGCUCCGUUGACUCCUGUAAAAAUAACUGUUUCCAGGUCAAUACAUCUCUACUCUCCCUCCAUAAAAGAGAAGGAGCUGUAAAUAACACGGUGUGGAGACAUGUGUGGUACCCACCUGACCCAGUGUUGUCUUCGAAAUGCAUUCUGCCGAGUUCCUACUUCGGCUCCUCAUGAAGCCAAGUCGUCAUUAACACCUACAUGGUCUGAAAACACAAACCACGAGAAGCAAGAGCUAUCAAGUGUACAUAGAUCUGGGGGGCAAGGGGAGGACAAGGUAUUGGCUUAGUGUGUGAGGUUCUGAGCCCGUGGGUCUGUUUGUACUAUGUCCUGAGUCUAAGGUCCUGUAACUGUACCUUCCUGUCCUGAGUCAUUUGUAUCUCUUGGCUUUGUAAUAAACGCUGCACACAAAAAAGAAAAAAAGGAAAAAAAAAAAAGAAA